UACGUAGGGUGCGAGCGUUGUCCGGAAUUAUUGGGCGUAAAGAGCUCGUAGGCGGCUUGUUGCGUCAGCUGUGAAAACCCGCAGCUCAACUGUGGGCUUGCAGCUGAUACGGGCAGGCUUGAGUUCGGUAGGGGAGACUGGAAUUCCAGGUGUAGCGGUGAAAUGACGUAGAUAUCUGGAGGAACACCGGUGGCGAAGGCGGCAUCCUGGACCAGAACUGACGAUCGAGGCACGAAAGCGUGGGGAGCAAACAGG
rnacentral:rRNA from 1 species